rnacentral:rRNA from 1 species
AUUGAACGCUGGCGGCAGGCUUAACACAUGCAAGUCGAGCGGUAACAGAGAGAAGCUUGCUUCUCUGCUGACGAGCGGCGGACGGGUGAGUAAUGCCUAGGAAUCUGCCUAGUAGUGGGGGAUAACUUGCCGAAGGUAAGCUAAUACCGCAUACGUCCUACGGGAGAAAGGAGGGGACCUUCGGGCCUUUCGCUAUUAGAUGAGCCUAGGUCGGCUUAGUUAGUUGGUGAGGUAAUGGCUCACCAAGACCGCGAUCCGUAACUGGUCUGAGAGGAUGAGCAGUCACACUGGAACUGAGACACGGUCCAGAAUCCUACGGGAGGAAGCAGUGGGGAAUUGUGGACAAUGGGGGGAACCCUGAUCCAGCCAUGCCGCGUGUGUGAAGAAGGUCUUAGGAUUGUAAAGCACUUUAAGUUGGGAGGAAGAGCAGUUAACUAAUAUUUGACUGUUUUGACGUUACCGACAGAAUAAGCACCGGCUAACUUCGUGCCAGCCGCCGCAGUAA